CUGCAGAGAAUCAGAAAUGGAGCCUCAUGAACGUGCACCAAACGGAGGUGUAACGGCCAGGUCAAUGAACACUAAUAGGCAAUCGCGUGGUGCCUAAUGCAUCUUCAGUGAAAAUCACUGCAAGUCAUGAGUUAACACACUUGGUUAACGGGGGAAAAAACAAUGGAGAAACUCCCCUCCCCCUGACUAUUGAAUUUACUCAGAGAAUCCCAUGAGGAGUUUAAGGUUCGCUAACCACCCUGACCCUCGGCAUCUUCCGUGAGACGGAAAGAAGAAAUCUGCCUCACAGCUGGGAUUGCUUGAAAACCCUUGUGAGGAGUCAGCUGUCCUCGCCCACCAACCAAACGAGACUUUUCAUGGCUUCUCUCCUAUCCCAGCCUCUAUCUGCACACAUACUUCCCAGCCCUGUGUCCUGAGACUCACUUGCUAAACUUCAUUUGACAUGUGUGUCAGAGAGAUGUCCAUGGUGCUUUACCAACUAUCACAAUGGGAACAAGAUUCGGGACAGACAGAGAUAAAACGAGUCAUGUGGUGAAUUCCCAGCCUUACUCCUUGAAAAGACCCCACUGUGCAUCCUUCUGGGUCAAAACAAAAAUCACGUACCACUCCCUCGCCCCGACCACCGACGCACCAUCAGCAGCUCUCCAGCCUUUGUUCCGAGAGUCAGACUGCAGUCUGGCUGCUGAGGAAAAAGUCAAGGGCCUCUGUUUGGAGGGGGCUUCCCUCGUAUCCUCGGAAGAGGGAACGU